CACCUUCCUUUGGAGUCUUAACUCUCAGUCCAGCAGACAUAAGUUUUAUCUAUUCAAGGUGGUGAGGUAUUGUAUGCACCGACAUUCACCCCCCCCUUGCUUCCCCCUCCCAUGUAAUGAAGAGCUGAUUCAGCGAAUAGAAUGAGAGAGCACUCAGGAUGAGAUGGCUGCUGCUGAUGUGUCUCUAGGUCAUUACCUCUCUUCCAACUGCAAAUGCUGCAUGAUACUAAGCUUACAGGACACUAGAAGCAAACCAUACCCCAGCAUGGAAAUCUGCUAGAAGACCUGGGAGGAAGCUCAAGUUUUCACAGUGGAAUACAACUAUGAAUCCCAAGAAAACAUGUUGCAGAGCUACCAGCAAUUCAACUCU